rnacentral:rRNA from 1 species
AGUCACUGACAUUAGAUACCCGCGUAGUCCCAGCCCUAAACGAUGCGCGUUAGGUGUAUCGGUGACCACGAGUCACCGAGGUGCCGAAGGGAAACCGUGAAACGUGCCGCCUGGGAAGUACGGUCGCAAGGCUGAAACUUAAAGGAAUUGGCGGGGAGCACCACAAGAGGUGGAGGCUGCGGUUCAAUUGGACUCAACGCCGGAAAACUCAUCGGGAGCGACAGCAGUAUGAUUGCCAGGUUGAUGACCUUGCUCGACAAGCUG